rnacentral:rRNA from 1 species
AGCGAACGCUGGCGGCAGGCUCAACACAUGCAAGUCGAGCGGGCACUUCGGUGUCAGCGGCAGACGGGUGAGUAACACGCGGGAACGUGCCCUUCGGUUCGGAAUAACUUAGGGAAACUUGAGCUAAUACCGGAUACGCCCUUUUGGGGAAAGGUUGACCGCCGAAGGAUCGGCCCGCGUCUGAUUAGCUUGUUGGUGGGGUAACGGCCUACCAAGGCGACGAUCAGUAGCUGGUCUGAGAGGAUGAUCAGCCACACUGGGACUGAGACACGGCCCAGACUCCUACGGGAGGCAGCAGUGGGGAAUAUUGGACAAUGGGCGCAAGCCUGAUCCAGCCAUGCCGCGUGAGUGAUGAAGGCCUUAGGGUUGUAAAGCUCUUUUGUCCGGGACGAUAAUGACGGUACCGGAAGAAUAAGCCCCGGCUAACUUCGUGCCAGCCGCCGCCGUAACAC